CCGACGGUGAGGGGUGAAAGCUGGGGGAGCAAACCGGAUUAGAUACCCGGGUAGUCCCAGCUGUAAACGAUGCGCGUUAGGUGUGUCAGUGACCACGUGUCACUGAUGUGCCGAAGGGAAACCGUGAAACGCGCCGCCUGGGGAGUACGGUCGCAAGGCUGAAACUUAAGGGAAUUGGCGGGGGAGCACCACAACGGGUGGAGCCUGCGGUUUAAUCGGACUCAACACCGGAAAUCUCACCGGAUAA
rnacentral:rRNA from 1 species